rnacentral:rRNA from 1 species
UGGGGAAUCUUGCGCAAUGGGCGAAAGCCUGACGCAGCGACGCCGCGUGAGUGAUGAAGGCCUUCGGGUUGUAAAGCUCUGUGGAGGGAGACGAAUAAGUGGUGGCUAACAUCCACCAUGAUGACGGUAUCCCUUUAGCAAGCACCGGCUAACUCUGUGCCAGCAGCCGCGGUAAGACAGAGGGUGCAAACGUUGUUCGGAAUUACUGGGCGUAAAGCGCGUGUAGGCUGCUCUGCAAGUCAGGUGUGAAAGCCCUGGGCUCAACCUAGGAAGUGCACUUGAAACUGCAAGAGCUGGAGUGUUGGAGAGGGAAGCGGAAUUCUCGGUGUAGAGGUGAAAUUCGUAGAUAUCGAGAGGAACACCGGUGGCGAAGGCGGCUUCCUGGACAACUACUGACGCUGAGACGCGAAAGCGUGGGGAGCAAACAG